GACGAACGCUGGCGACGUGCUUAACACAUGCAAGUCGAACGGAAAGGCCCUGCUUUUGUGGGGUGCUCGAGUGGCGAACGGGUGAGUAACACGUGAGUAACCUGCCCUUGACUUUGGGAUAACUUCAGGAAACUGGGGCUAAUACCGGAUAGGAGCUCCUGCUGCAUGGUGGGGGUUGGAAAGUUUCGGCGGUUGGGGAUGGACUCGCGGCUUAUCAGCUUGUUGGUGGGGUAGUGGCUUACCAAGGCUUGACGGGUAGCCGGCCUGAGAGGGUGACCGGCCACAUUGGGACUGAGAUACGGCCCAGACUCCUACGGGAGGCAGCAGUGGGGAAUAUUGCACAAUGGGCGGAAGCCUGAUGCAGCAACGCCGCGUGCGGGAUGACGGCCUUCGGGUUGUAAACCGCUUUCGCCUGUGACGAAGCGUGAGUGACGGUAAUGGGUAAAGAAGCACCGGCUAACUACGUGCCAGCAGCCGCGGUGAUACGUAGGGUGCGAGCGUUGUCCGGAUUUAUUGGGCGUAAAGGGCUCGUAGGUGGUUGAUCGCGUCGGAAGUGUAAUCUUGGGGCUUAACCCUGAGCGUGCUUUCGAUACGGGUUGACUUGAGGAAGGUAGGGGAGAAUGGAAUUCCUGGUGGAGCGGUGGAAUGCGCAGAUAUCAGGAGGAACACCAGUGGCGAAGGCGGUUCUCUGGGCCUUUCCUGACGCUGAGGAGCGAAAGCGUGGGGAGCGAACAGGCUUAGAUACCCUGGUAGUCCACGCUGUAAACGGUGGGUACUAGGUGUGGGGUCCAUUCCACGGGUUCCGCGCCGUAGCUAACGCUUUAAGUACCCCGCCUGGGGAGUACGGCCGCAAGGCUAAAACCCAAAGGAAUUGACGGGGCCCCGCACAAGCGGCGGAGCAUGCGGAUUAAUUCGAUGCAACGCGUAGAACCUUACCUGGGUUUGACAUGGAUCGGGAGUGCUCAGAGAUGGGUGUGCCUCUUUUGGGGUCGGUUCACAGGUGGUGCAUGGCUGUCGUCAGCUCGUGUCGUGAGAUGUUGGGUUAAGUCCCGCAACGAGCGCAACCCUUGUUCACUGUUGCCAGCACGUUAUGGUGGGGACUCAGUGGAGACCGCCGGGGUCAACUCGGAGGAAGGUGGGGAUGACGUCAAGUCAUCAUGCCCCUUAUGUCCAGGGCUUCACGCAUGCUACAAUGGCUGGUACAGAGAGUGGCGAGCCUGUGAGGGUGAGCGAAUCUCGGAAAGCCGGUCUCAGUUCGGAUUGGGGUCCGCAACUCGACCUCAUGAAGUCGGAGUCGCUAGUAAUCGCAGAUCAGCAACGCUGCGGUGAAUACGUUCCCGGGGCU
rnacentral:rRNA from 1 species